UAAUUGCGCGUCAACUUGUGAACUGCAGGACACAUGAACAUCGACAUUUCGAACGCACAUUGCGGUCCACGGAUACAAUUCCCGGACACGCCUGGCUGAGGGUCGUUUAUGCAUAAAAGUAAGACUGCUGCGUGUUUUUUACGCGCUAGCGAAUAUAAUGGGCGUUCGUCGAUUGGAAACCAGCAAAGCGCCUGGGGAACGAUCGGCGUCGCUUGAAAUGAAUUAGUCGCGCCGGGUCACGGAGAUCGAGCGUCUUUCGACCCUCGAUCCGGAUCCCGUGACAAGCGUCCGCUUCGCGCGUUCCGUGCUUAAUAAACACGGGAUCGGGCGUGCGGACGCGAGACUCAUUGAGAACCGAGCCGAGCCACAAAGUUUGAGCUGAGCCCGAGAGAUCGAGAAAAUACCAUACGAACGCUCGUCGUUCGUAGGGCGUGUUCCCCGAAUCUCGCGUAAGAGAAUACCGCAAACACAUUGAAAAGUGGACGGUCCGAGCAUCGCUCAACGGCCGGUCGAUCGAGUCCCGGAGCUAUAUCCAUAGUUUGAAGGACAGAUCCGACCCGUGUACGUUCGUAGCAGCUCGCACCCCGUCGUGUUGCGCUUCUCCGAAACGCGUGCGGUUCGAAAGGGACAAUUGAACGCGAAAUGUCCACGGCUUUUCCGAUCACGUAUCUCGGCUCUUCCAAUAUUUGCGGCUCGAAUCUUCUCAUUGUUUCGAUAUAAUCAACGACCUCAGAGCAGGCGAGACUA
rnacentral:misc_RNA from 1 species